GAUCAUGGCUCAGGAUAAACGCUGGCGGCGUGCCUAACACAUGCAAGUCGAACGAUCCGCAAGGGAGAGUGGCGGAAGGGUGAGUAACACGUGGGAAUCUACCUCCUCGCAGGGAACAACCUCUCGAAAGAGAGGCUAAUACCCAAAAGGGUCAGAAAUGAUCAGAGUCGAAAGGCGUGAGGAGAGGAGCCCGCGGCCCAUCAGCUAGUUGGUGAGGUAAUGGCUUACCAAGGCUACGACGGGUAGGGGAUCUGAGAGGAUGUCCCCCACACUGGAACUGAAACACGGUCCAGACGCCUACGGGUGGCAGCAGUGAGGAAUAUUGGACAAUGGGCGAAAGCCCGAUCCAGCAACGCCGCGUGGAGGAUGAAGGCCUUCGGGUCGUAAACUUCUUUAGAGGGAGACGAGAAAGGACGGUAUCCCUAGAAUAAGCGACGGCAAACUACGUG
rnacentral:rRNA from 1 species